AUUCUCCCUUGCACAAUGCCGCAGGAUAUCCUGAGCCACUAGAUAUUGAGGGGGCUCAGCCCCUCCUUAAAAACGGGGGGCCCCCAAAGUGCCUCCACCCCCAGAAGCAGGUGCCCCUGGUUCCAGCACCUCUCAGGUGGGUGUCAUUGCCAUUCUAAGAGAAUGCGGGAGGAGUUCAUGGUGAGUUCCAGCACCUCUUUUCCUAGCAAACUAGCACCACCCUCCUCCAAUAGCAAUUAAACUUUUGUGUUUUUUUUAAAUGAUAUUUAUUAAAGUUUCCAAUAUAAACAGAACACAUCAGUAAAAGAGAAUUAAAAGUAAAAAGAAAAAUACACAAUACAAAAAUACACAAUACAAAAUACAAAAAAAAAAAGAAAAAAGAAAAAACAGUUAAAAACAAUACCACCUUUUCAUCACCACUUUUGAAUUUACUUAUUUUCUGGACCUCCUCGUACCUCCCUCUUUUGUAUUCCAAUUCAGUUUGUUUGUCCAGCAAUUCCUUUCCCUCUUUUUUAAUCCCAAUCCUUAAUCUUAAUAUGGUAUAACAUUAAAUUCUUAUCUAUUAAUAGCCAAUUUUCCGUUCUUUUAACCUUUUUAUGCCUAAUCCUUAAUCUUAGUCUAUAUAUAACUUUAACGCCUGUGCAGCUAGAAACCACUUAAUUUCAAUCCAUCAUCACUCUAACAUUCUUUGAUUUUGCAAUGUUUCUGUAGAUAAUCUUUAAAUUUCUUCCAAUCUUCUUCCACCGACUCCUCUCCCUGGUCACGGAUUCUACCAGUCAUUUCCGCCAGUUCCAUAUAGUCCAUCAGUUUCAUCUGCCAUUCCUCCAGUGUGGGUAAUAAAUAGCAAUUAAACUUUUGAACACCUUCCACUGUCACUAAUGGUAUCCUCGCCAGCCCACACACCCAAUUUCUAUACAGCGGCAGAGCUUAAAGGGGGAGGUUUGCAAGUGUAGGCUGCGCUUUGUGAUACCCAGUGGUGAAGCUCCACUACUGGGGGCAGAGAGCAGGUGAGGCGGGGCUGAUGCCUGGCGCUGCAGGGUGCACGGUGUGUGUCAGGGGGGCCACCACGAUGGCACCCUACCAGAAUAGUGUUGCCAGGGGACGGUCCGCUCCCUCCGCACCUCUGUUCCUCUUCCAGUGGUGAUACCCUCUCCUCCCAAAAAAUACCCCCAGGGGAAAUUAGCAAUUUGGGGGAGGCCAAAGCUGCUGAUGCCUAACUGAUAUACACAAGGGGAAAUGGGGAUGAGGCCAAAUCUAGUGCUACCUACCAUAUUUCCCAUUCCUGCUGUAAAUGUCUGUCUGAAUGGUAUAUAACUCCAUUCAAUACACAAAUCACCUUCCUCUCUUCUUAAAGACCGUAAGCUCCCAGGGUGCCAUGAAUGUUCCCCUCAAAGUCUGUGGCCAGUGGGUAGGGGUUGCUCCCACUGCAACUGCCCACCCCAGGAGCUGGCUGGGAACAUUUCGACACUGCCAGGAAGCGCAUUUGUAUAAUUCUGCUCUUCCUUUUGCCUGAUUGAACUGAACCAUCUUACAGGACCCUAUCCUCCUCAUCGGAGCUGACGCUUUCCCUUUCCGACAAGCAACAUCUCAUGUGCUUCUGUCCUUGAGGAAAGACAUGGCUUUGUCUGCGAAAGGUUGCAGGUUCCAUCUCUGGUAUCAUCAGCUACAGCUGAAAAAGUGUUUCCACUCUCUUCUAGGAAUGCUCAGUGUGUGUGUGUGUGUAUGUGUGUGUAUUCUAGUGUGAACUGAACUGAUCUGCACCUCCUUUAUUUCACACUUCUCUCAAAAAAAGAAGAAGCAAGAACAAGUGUCUACAAAAUGUGUAUCCUAGAAUAAAUUAUGUUUAGAAAUGCAUAUAUUGACAUUGAUGCAUAUAUCAUGAUGUAUUUUGUGACAGAAGGCAUAAUAAAACACAUAUUUAAAUUCAAAUUUUCAUGCAUUAAAAACAAUUAAAUCCACUGUUUAAUGCAGAAACAGGAAAGAGUGGACUUGAAUGCACACACACAGAAAUGGUACGGUGUUGUAUUCAGUGUUACUCCUACACAAAACAGACCAUUUGAAAACAAUGGACACAAAUAACAGGUGCAAUAAUUUUAAUAGGUCUACUCUAUGUAGAAUUGGAUAUAAAGCAUGGUCUAGAAAUAGAUUGAUUCCUCCAUUUCUCCUUCCCUUGGGGAAACCUUGGCCACAUCCAUACAUUUAAAGGACACUUGUUUCACUUUAAAAGUUCUGGCUUCCCCUUAAUGAAUCCUUGGAAUUGUAAUUUGUUAAGGGUCACCUAACAGUUCUCAGCUCUCGACAAAUUACACUUAGAGAUCCACUGCCAGCCAGUCUGCACUGGUAGACAAUACUGAGCUACAUGUAUCAAUGGUCUGAUAAGAAGGUUUCCUACAUUUCUAUCCCUCCAAGAGUUUGCCAGGCAAAAAUGCAGAGGCAUUCUUUUAAAAUAAUGGAUGCUAAGUAGAAGAAGGAUAGGUAGCAAGAGGAUGCCCUGUUGUGUUCAUAAGGGCCCCUUAUCAUUAAUAGGGAUGGGGGUGGAUUUGGUUGGUUACAAAUUUUAAUAUGUGCCUAUCUAAUUUUACACUUUGCAAAGCAGCCUGUAAAUUGAAGCUUGGCUGGUCUCAGGAAUUUGCACUUCUCCAAAUUUCACCCCCCAAAAAUGGUUACAAAAAUGUCUAUAUUCAUGGACAGAAAUGGCUAAAAAAGACAUCUGUGAAAAUAGCAUACAAAAAGACAUUAUAUUUGGGGGAAAUGCAUAGAAAAAUAAACUGAGCUGCUAACAAGUUGUCACGAGGAAUUAUUAUUAUUUUCAUAGCAAACAGAUGCUGAUAAGUGGCAAAUUGAAGUUAAGAGUGGGAAACUAAGAGGAAACAAAAAUUAACAGAUUCCAUCAUUCCUUUCCAAGGGCAGACCUUCAUCUUGUACCUCCAGAUGCGACAAUACUCUGAAGUGUGGAAGGUCAUCUCAGGCCGCCAUCCUCCCAAUACCUAAGCAAGCUAUACAGGGACACCAUGCUGAGUCUGUCAGCAUUGCUUGCUUACAGGACAUGUUUACAGACCUGAAUUUUACAGUAGACUGGUAAAGAUGGACACGUAACAAUGAACUGUGUGUCUUUUUUCCAAAAAGGAUGGCUACCCAAUGGUUGUUUCCAGCAGCUGAAGAAAAUGAGAUCUAACAGGGACUCAUCUCCUUGACUGCCCAGUAUUUAAUAGAGACGGACACAGGAGCAGUGUGACAGCUCUGCCAGAGUCUUGCUUUUUUCUCUGUUUGUCAGAAGUGUGUUGUGCAUGUGACAGAAACAAUCAUGAGAGAAGCUGAUGCCCUGUUUUCCAAAUGCGCCGUGAAGGCUUCCGGCCUCCUAUCAGUCAGGAGGAGCUCAUCUGGUUCAUAAGGUUCGAAACCAGCCUGACAAAAACCAGAAACCAAAGUGACAGGUGGAAGGAGUAGCAGGUCUGGCUAAUUUCAAUAUGAGCUUCAAUAUCUGAGUCUCUGUGCCUCCCAUCAGCUCCAGCCAGCAUAGUGAAUGAAAGAUCCCAAACCUCUCAGCAGUGUGUAUAUGAACAUACAUGAGUGCUGGCUGUGCACAUGCGAGUUCAGGUAGAAGAGUUUGGAUUGAUAUCCCGCUUUAUCACUAUCCUAAGGAGUCUUAAAGCGACUAACAAUCUCCUUUCCCUUCCUCCCCCACAACAGACACUCUGUGAGGUGAGCAGGGCUGAGAGACUUCAGAGAAGUAUGACUAGCCCAAGGUCACCCAGCAGC